GGACGACGCUGGCGGCGUGCCUAAUACAUGCAAGGUCGUAACGGUCUUUUCUAUGGAAGCUUGCUUCCACUGAGAAGAUAGUGGGCGAACGGGUGAGUAACGACGUGGGUAACCUGACCCAGUAAGAGGGGGGAUAACAUCCGGAAACGGGUGCUAAUACCGCAUAGUUUUUCUUGAUCGCAUGAUCGGGAAAGGAAAGACGGCCUUUGUGCUGUCGCUUAUGGAUGGACCCGCGGCGUAUUAGUUAGUUGGUGAGGUAACGGCUCACCAAGACGAUGAUACGUAGCCGACCUGAGAGGUGAUCGGCCACAUUGGGACUGAGACACGGCCCAAACUCCUACGGGAGGCAGCAGUAGGGAAUCUUCCGCAAUGGACGAAAGUCUGACGGAGCAACGCCGCGUGAGUGAAAGAAGGUUUUCGGAUCGUAAAACUCUGUUGUCAGAGAAGAACAAGUUGGAGAGUAACUGCUCCAGCCUUGACGGUAUCUGACCAGAAAGCCACGGCUAACUACGUGCCAGCCGCCGC
rnacentral:rRNA from 1 species